GUAGAGCGCAACCUUGCCAAGGUUGAGGUCACGAGUUCGAACCUCGUGUGUCGCUCCA
rnacentral:tRNA from 2 species